UUUUAAGUUUCUUAUGUUAACAGCCAGGAUGUGGGGAGAGUGGCACGCCCACACCGCUAUGACUGGGACGUGGAUUUGAACCUCUGCCCACAGACACGAGCACCUGACCGGACAGGGCGAGCCUACCAGAGCCCCGUGGGGCGGGGAGAGGCGGAAACACCCGAACUGUGGCAGCGAAAUCGGAGAAAACCGACACCCGGCGGAGGGAGCCCAACGGAACCAACCGGCACCGAGGAGCGGGAAGAAGCGGGGGGAGGCGACGCUGCACGGAAAGAGCCGAAGAUGGGCGGAAAGAGCCGAAGAUGAGCGGAAGGAACCGAGGUGCUCCCGGUUUGCAUCCAGAUACCAGUUAAUUUACCAACUUGGGAGGAAUUUUAGGCCCUCUGCGCCAUUAAACUAGAUGCAUCCAUCCCUGAGGUCGCUGAUCUCAAGGAGCUGCGCAUACCAGGUGAUCCAGAGAGUAAUUUACUUAGUUCUUUCUUUACGGAUUGCCAUGAAUUCACCUUUCUCCAAAUUUAGUGCUGUGGCUGGCACAAUUAGCUGCAUGUUUAAGUCACCUAGAUUCAGGAAUUCUUCAAGUACCAUGGACGUGAGACAGGAUGUCUUCUGGCUUGUCCGCUGUGGGUUAUGCACCCACCUCUUCUAUGAGAGGGGAAUCCAAGGUCACUGCGAUUUCCAGCAAGAGAAGGGCUGUGUGCAUCUUGGGCGUGGGGGCACCUGCAUGGACCCGGAGGCCAAGCCAGCCUAUUCUGGUGAGUACAGCAUCCAUCUUGACCAAGAGCGUCCAUUUGUAACUUUUCUCCUUCUGUAAAACCUCUAUGACUUAAGCAGUCU
rnacentral:lncRNA from 1 species